UAGUGCUUCCUCCCCCUCUCCUUCCCCUUCAAAGAGCCUUGGAAGUCUGGAGGGCGGGGGCAGAAGAGGGCACGCUAAGGAGCAGUGGGUUCAUAGAGAGCAGGUGGACGUCUAGGGGAGGUGAGGACGCAACGCCUCAUCUUCUUCACCUGAACUUCUCAGAUGCCAAGAAGCGUCGCAGCGUCAGGGAUGCUGGGUCUCUGUGAGCUGUUUUGCUUGGCUGCUUCUUGGAUGGAUGCCCUUGGAUGGCUCCCAGUGUGAUGAAGGAUUUGAAAGCCCUGGGGCCACUGCUAUGGAAGUCUAGUUGCAAAAGCAACAUGGAAGACAUCGACUCACUCGGGAAGAAAGACAGCACGAUACCCUGAUAUUGGUGAAACUAUUCACUUGAAGAAGGCAUGAACCCUUGAAUUCUUCAGAGACCAGUGCUUGACUGUGGCACUUGGCCAGUACAACAUACUUCAAUCCCAUGCCCUCCUAUGGUAGACACUAUUGCCAUUAUGCCAGACUUUCCUAGCUGGUAGACAGAGCUAAAAUUGUCAUUUAUUUUACAAAUAUCUUCAAAGCUAAGACUUAAUAGGACUUGAGGGAAUGUCUACAAUAAAUCUUCUGGGAAAGGUUUUCUCCCUGCAAAAGGAAACAUGAAAUGCCCACCUUUAAAAGUAUAAUUAAUUACUAGUUACUUGAAAGGCAGAGAGACAGGCAAUGGGAGAUUUCCUACCCACUGAUUCAUUCCUUAACAGCCAGGGCUGGUCCAGGGUGAAAUCAUGAGUUGAGAAAUCAAUCUGGAUUAUUCUAUCAUCUCCAGACAAACACAGACACAAGGUUUUUAAAAAUGUUUACAUUUUAAUACAUGCAUAAAAAUUACCUGGCUCCUGCCAUCGGAUCAGCGCGGUGCGCUGGCCGCAGCGCGCCAGCCGCGGCGGCCAUUGGAGGGUGAACCAACGGCAAAAAGGAAGACCUUUCUCUCUGUCUCUCUCUCUCACUGUCUACUCUGCCUGUCAAAAAAUAAAAAAAAAGAAAAAAAUAGACAAAGCUAGGCAUGAUUCAUUGUGACAAAGAUAUUAAUAUGAGUUGUUAAUGGAGAAAUGAGGAGAAGGGUAUAUGGGAACUCUCUGUAUUACCCCCUCACAAUUGUUGUUUUAUAAAUUUAAAACUAUUCUGAAAUAAAAUGUUUUAAAAAGCCAUACAUAUAUAUGGGGUACUGUGUGAUGUUUUGGCACAUGUAUCCUUUUAUAAUGUAAAUAUAUUUAUUCUUUAAAGAAUUUAGCAUUUAUUCAUAGGUGAAACAUCUAAAUUCUAUCUUCUUUUUUUUA